UCCAUGCCGGUCCAGAACGUUCCCCAGAGCCAUCGCCUCGCUCGGUUUUCCCCUUCCUCCUCACGCACGACCGCCCCAACUUCCGCCGCCGCCUCCGCCUCCGCCGUCGCGAACUCGCUGUCGGCUUCCCCGGCUGCCCCCAUUUGGCGCCGCCUCCGCCUGUAGAGGCAGGCGGCCGCUCGAGAGCGCGGUCAUGUUGGAGAAAGACAGGAUAUCCUAUUUCUACGAUGGGGAUGUUGGCAAUGUGUACUUUGGGCCAAAUCACCCGAUGAAACCGCAUCGCCUUUGCAUGACACACCAUCUCGUGUUAUCAUAUGAUCUUCACAAGAAAAUGGAGAUAUAUAGACCCCACAAAGCAUAUCCAACAGAGCUUGCGCAGUUCCAUUCUGCUGAUUAUGUGGAAUUCUUGCACCGAAUAACUCCUGAUACCCAGCACUUGUAUGCAAGUGAAUUAACUAGAUACAACCUUGGAGAGGACUGCCCGGUCUUUGAUGAUUUGUUUGAGUUCUGCCAAAUCUAUGCUGGAGGAACUCUAGAUGCGGCUCGAAGACUAAAUCAUAAAACAUGUGAUAUUGCUAUUAAUUGGGCUGGUGGGCUGCAUCAUGCAAAGAAGUGUGAGGCGUCAGGCUUCUGCUACAUUAAUGACCUGGUUUUGGGAAUUCUGGAGCUUCUCAAGUAUCAUGCUAGGGUUCUCUAUAUUGACAUUGAUGUCCAUCAUGGAGAUGGAGUUGAAGAAGCCUUCUAUUUCACUGACAGGGUAAUGACUGUAAGUUUCCACAAGUAUGGUGACAUGUUCUUUCCUGGCACAGGUGAUAUUAAGGAUAUAGGAGACAGGGAAGGAAGAUAUUAUGCAAUCAACAUCCCACUUAAAGAUGGCAUAGAUGACAGCAGCUUUACUCGCCUUUUUAAAACGAUUAUUGCCAAAGUUGUUGAGACAUAUCUGCCAGGUGCUAUUGUUCUUCAAUGUGGGGCUGAUUCAUUGGCGCGAGACCGCCUAGGGUGUUUCAAUCUUUCAAUAGAAGGCCAUGCUGAAUGUGUAAAGUUUGUUAAGAAAUUUAAAAUCCCGCUGCUGGUGACAGGAGGUGGUGGGUACACCAAAGAGAAUGUAGCACGCUGUUGGGCUGUUGAAACUGGGGUUCUUCUAGACACAGAACUCCCAAAUGAGAUCCCUGACAAUGAAUACAUUGAAUACUUCGGUCCAGAUUAUACAUUGAAAGUACCAAAUCUGAACAUGGACAACUUGAAUAGUAAGACGUAUCUCAGUUCAAUCAAAGUGCAAGUAAUGGAGAGUUUGCGGGCCAUACAACAUGCACCUGGCGUUCAGAUGCAAGAGGUUCCACCCGAUUUCUAUGUCCCGGAUUUUGAUGAAGACGAGCUGGAUCCUGAUGAACGUGUUGAUCGUAAGUGAAAUACCUCUGGCAUGUCUUGCAGUGCUCAUAUGGACAAGUAAAAACUUGAUGAUUUCUCCGUGCUAACUCGCCAUUGUCCUCUCGAAGCAUGUGCGCGCCACAUAAUGAGAAAUUUCCCCUGAAAUGAAAGCAUACCCAAGACAAGCAGGUUCAUCGUGACGACGAGUACUAUGAAGGCGACAACGACAAUGAUCACGAUGACGGCGGACAUUGAGAUCGGCAUCUUGACGAUGUAUGUAGGUGGAAGCUGAAAGUCUUUCCCGCAGCAGCUGCUGUUCAGUUUAUAACAUCGUGGGAUGGGGAAUAGUUGGCUGAUUGACAUUUUAGGAUCUGACGCUAGGCUGGAGAGCAUUGUGGGAGAACGUAACACUUGCUGACUUGUACAGCAUUGUACGAUCUCACAUUUGUACUUACUUAAAAUACCAUCAUUUCAGUACGUACGUAAUUUUUUAUUUAGCCUUUGGAUUAUUCUUGUA